GGUAAUUUCAAGACUAUUUACCACGAUAACUGAAGUUUGAAUAUUGUUGAUGAAGUACAGACUGAAAUGUGAAAGUUAAGAUUAAUUUUGAGCAAUUGGUAUGAGCAAAGAGAUGACCAGGAGGAAACCAUGAGCUGAGCGACAAACACAAAAGUGGAACCGUGAAUAAAAUUCAAUAUAAAUAUGCAAAAGAUAUACACUAUGUUUAAAAUUUAUAAACAUUAAAAACCACGAUAAAAAAUAAGAAAAAAAGGUUCAUCUAGGUUUCUGAUUGGCUUGUAACAGUCUGUUUGAAGGUGGUAGUUAUGGUGUUUUGCUUUACCAGAAAAACUGAUUUUAUCAAUAUGAAUGAGAGCAACAUUAUUAAACAUUGAAUAACUACCAAAAUUAUAUAUUUCUAAACAAUUGACAGUACUAUAGUUGCUCGAAGCCCACC